UACAGAGGGGGCAAGCGUUGUUCGGAAUUACUGGGCGUAAAGGGCGCGUAGGCGGCCCGCUAAGUCGAACGUGAAAUCCCCAGGCUUAACCUGGGAACUGCGUCCGAUACUGGCAGGCUUGAAUCCGGGAGAGGGAUGUGGAAUUCCAGGUGUAGCGGUGAAAUGCGUAGAUAUCUGGAGGAACACCGGUGGCGAAGGCGGCAUCCUGGACCGGCAUUGACGCUGAGGCGCGAAAGCUAGGGGAGCAAACAGG
rnacentral:rRNA from 1 species